GGUUUGAUUAUGGCUCAGAUUGAACGCUGGCGGGAUGCUUUACACAUGCAAGUCGAACGGCAGCACGGACUUCGGUCUGGUGGCGAGUGGCGAACGGGUGAGUAAUGUAUCGGAACGUGCCUAGUAGCGGGGGAUAACUGCGGCGUGGCUUUCAUGCCGCAUACGCCCUUCGGGGAAAGCGGGGACCUUCGGGCCUCGCACUAUUAGAAGCGGCCGAUAUCGGAUUAACUAGUUGGUGGGGUAACGGCUCACCAAGGCGACGAUCCGUAGCUGGUUUGAGAGGACGACCAGCCACACUGGGACUGAGACACGGCCCAGACUCCUACAGGAGCCCAACAGUGGGAAUUUGGACAAUGGGGAAACCCUGAUCCAGCCAUCCCGCGUGCGAUGAAGGCCUUCGGGUUGUAAAGCACUUUUGGCAGGAAAGAAACAGCACGGGAUAAUACCCCGUGCAGCUGACGGUACCUGCAGAAUAAGCACCGGCUAACUACGUGCCAGCAAUGUACGGUAAUACGUAGGGUGCAAGCGUUAAUCGGAAUUACUGGGCGUGAUGCGCAGGCGGUUCGGAAGAAAAGAUGUGAAAUCCCAGAGCUUAACUUUGGAACUGCAUUUUUAACUACCGAGCUAGAGUGUGUCAGAGGGAGGUGGAAUUCCGCGUGUAGCAGUGAAAUGCGUAGAUAUGCGGAGGAACACCGAUGGCGAAGGCGCCGGCCUCCUGGGGAUAACACUGACGCUCAUGCACGAAAGCGUGGGGAGCAAACAGGAUUGAAUGCCCUGGUAGUCCACGCCCUAAACGAUGUCAACUAGCUGUUGGGGCCUUCGGGCCUUGGUAGCGCAGCUAACGCGUGAAGUUGACCGCCUGGGGAGUACGGUCGCAAGAUUAAAACUCAAAAGGAAUUGACGGGGACCCACUGGCGGUGGAUGAUGUGGAUUAAAUUCAGGUAACAUGAAAAACCUCUAUGACAUGUCUGGAAUCCCGAAGAGAUUUGGGAGUGCUCGCAAGAGAACCGGAACACAGGUGCUUUGCAUGGCUGUCGCAAUCAGCUCGUGUCGUGAGAUGUUGGGUUAAGUCCCGCAACGAGCGCAACCCUUGUCAUUAGUUGCUACGAAAGGGCACUCUAAUGAGACUGCCGGUGACAAACCGGAGGAAGGUGGGGAUGACGUCAAGUCCUCAUGGCCUUAUGGGUAGAACCCCACGUCAUACAAUGGUCGGGACAGAGGGUCGCCAACCCGCGAGGGGGAGCCAAUCCCAGAAACCCGAUCGUAGUCCGGAUCACCAGUCUGCAACUCGACUGCGUAGUCGGAAUCGCUAGUAAUCGCGAAUCCAGCAUGUCGCGGUGAAUACGUUCGGGUCUUGUACACACCGCCGUCACACCAUGGGAGUGGGUUUCAGAAGUAGUUAAAUUAACCGUAAGGAGGGCGAUUACCACGGUGGGAUUCAUGACUGAGGUGAAGUCAUCUUUGGUAG
rnacentral:rRNA from 1 species